rnacentral:rRNA from 1 species
UACGUAGGGUGCAGGCGUUAAUCGGAAUUACUGGGCGUAAAGCGUGCGCAGGCGGUUUCUUAAGUCAGAUGUGAAAGCCCCGGGCUUAACCUGGGAACUGCGUUUGAAACUGGGAGACUUGAGUGUGGCAGAGGGGGGUGGAAUUCCACGGUGUAGCAGUGAAAUGCGUAGAGUAUGUGGAGGAACACCGAUGGCGAAGGCAGCCCCCUGGGUUAACACUGACGCUCGAUGCACGAAAGCGUGGGGAGCAAACAGG